CUCGCUGAUCCCUGGCAAGGACGGCAGCCCGAGCCCUGGCUCCCUUGUUUGGGUCACUGCUUUCUCGCUGGCACCGGCAGAUGAAUUCCUGGAUCCUGCUGGCCUUGGCAUUAGAAAGCAACCAAAAAGGAGCCAAAAGCUGCAGCCAAAAAAAGUUUUUGUUCUCUUUUCUUCUUUAACGUCAAUUUAAAGAAAACAAGAAAGGAAAAAAAAAAAAAAAAGAACCAACCCCCGCUAGUCACUUAUAACGGAGGAGGCAAAUGGCAGCCCGCAGCAGCAGCGGGCGCAUGGGGGAAGAUGGCCGCACGCCAGCACGGCCGCGUCCUGCCGCCCUUCCACAGGGACACGGGGGUGGGCUCGGGGCCGGGCCGGGGACUGCAGCGGGCAUCACCGGGAGGUUUGUUUGUGUUGUGUAACCAGGGCUCGGCACGCGCGUUGGGUAACGCCGCCGACAUUUCACCUACUUUCAAGCCACUGCUGCGACGAAUCCGUUUGGCCCCAAGUUGUUUUCGCCUCCAAGGAAAGUACGUUUGCACGGCGGAGCCUCCCCACCCUCUCGCCGUAAUUCCCCGGGGCGGACGAGGAGGGAGACGGGGAUUAAAGAGUCGCAGGGACCAAGGAGCCUCUGAAGAUAUAAUCUCAUUAUCUGGAAGCACUUGCAUGAGGAACGGUUAGUUUUAUGGAAGGAGAGCUGCUGCAAAAGAGAGAGAGACCUGACUUGGGUACUGAUUUGUGCCUUCCUGGUGCAGAUUUGUCAGCGCAGAGUGUUCCCACAGGGCCAGCAGGCCAGGCCAAAGGCUGUGCUCCAAAAGCCACCUUCUUUACCGACUUCUGGAAUGGGAGCGCUCCUGCUGGACCCAUCAGCUUAGUCCAAUUAUUCUGUUGCCUUGUUUCUGAAACUGGCUCCAAUGGAUGCUUAUGGGGAAGAGGAACAUGCUGCUGAAAGCAGAUGGCAUCCUCCUGUCACUGGAAGCUCCCACCCGACUAGAAGGGAAGAGGUACAGCCUCUAUGUGGAGUUGUGAGCCCACGGCCACUUGUGCUGUGAGUCCUGGAUUUACUUCCUGUGGGGUGACGAAAGGCACAGAUCAAAGUUUUGAAGCUUGGACACAGCAGCAAUGGCAGACAUAGCCCAGUGGUAUCCGCCACCACCAUACCAGAGGAGACAGAAGGAAGUCCCCGGUCCCAUUCCUCAACAGGAGCACACAAGCUCUUUAGCAGCCAUGUUCAUGACUGGCCCACGUGCAGGCCUUGAGCAGAACCCACACUGAUACAAACACCAUCCAGACCCUCCAACUGAGGAAGAACUGAAGCAUGGAGGAAGAGAAACCCAGAUUCAAAAGCUAUUUAGACACCUAAUGAUGCAGUGAGAUACCAGCUGGCAUUUCCAGAAAGCACUGUUUAGGCAGCUAGGAGACCAGCACAAGUCCGCUCCACAUCUGCCUACAGCCAAGCAGCAACCAGCAGGGUGGAAGCAGACAGGUCACCUGGGGAGCAGCAAGGGCCCUGUGUCAGCUGCUUCAUGAGAGCACCUUGCUGCCUGCUUCUCACUGUCAGCAAACAUGAGGCACUCUGAGGCUAAUGAAGGAGGAAUGUCUGCUAACGAAGCAGGAGUGAACCAUCUCAGGUUCCGCAUGGCAUACGGGAGUGUGAAUGGUUAUGGCUCUGCUAAGCUCUGGCACAAAGACUUACUAACUGAGCAUUACAGUUCCUAGAAAGAAACCCAACAAACUGGGAAAAUAAAACAUUCUGACCUACUUUCAUCUCCAUUAACCUACUCCUUCCUUAAAAGCUUGGGCAGAGACAUUCACAUGUUGCUAGGCUCUAAGCAGCAGCUUUGCAGUCCUGGAUUCCAAUUGCAUGCAGCACAGCAGCGUGCUGUGGAUACAAAGACAGCCUCUCCCCACCCCCUCAGACAGGAGCCCCAAGAACUGGAAGGCUGCUGCUGCUGCUCUCUGCUGAACUCAGCUUCUGUGAGCACCUACGUGCAGGCUGGCAGGUCCCCCUGCACCCAGAAUGAAGCCCACCAACUCCUGCUAGGUAAGAGCUGGCCCUUCCACAGCUGAGGCACAGCUGGGCUUUGUCUAAACCACACUGACCAGCCCAUCGGAAUGAGGAUGAUGGUGUGGCAGAGUCAGAUCUCCAGGGAAAGAUGCAGUGGAUGAAGGGAGGCUAAAAAAGCCGAUGCACUUGACCUCUC
ensembl:lncRNA